GACGAACGCUGGCGGCGCGCCUAACACAUGCAAGUCGAACGAGCGAGAGAGAGCUUGCUUUCUCGAGCGAGUAGCGAACGGGUGAGUAACGCGUGAGGAACCUGCCUCAAAGAGGGGGACAACAGUUGGAAACGACUGCUAAUACCGCAUAAGCCCACGACCCGGCAUCGGGUAGAGGGAAAAGGAGCAAUCCGCUUUGAGAUGGCCUCGCGUCCGAUUAGCUAGUUUGUGAGGUAACGGCCCACCAAGGCGACGAUCGGUAGCCGGACUGAGAGGUUGAACGGCCACAUUGGGACUGAGACACGGCCCAGACUCCUACGGGAGGCAGCAGUGGGGAAUAUUGCACAAUGGGGGAAACCCUGAUGCAGCGACGCCGCGUGGAGGAAGAAGGUCUUCGGAUUGUAAACUCCUGUUGUUGAGGAAGAUAAUGACGGUACUCAACAAGGAAGUGACGGCUAACUACGUG
rnacentral:rRNA from 1 species